GGAAGCCGGGGAUCCGCGGCCAUGACGGUGCCGGUCCGCGGCUUCUCGCUGCUCCGCGGCCGCCUUGGCCGAGCGCCGGCGUUGGGCAGAAGCACAGCACCCUCCGUAAGGGCACCGGGAGAGCCCGGGAGUGCGUUCCGGGGCUUUCGGAGCAGCGGUGUGAGGACCAGCAGAGAGAAGAGAUUCCAUCUUCCAGAGGUUGCCACUGUCUGCCUCCCCACUUGUCCCCAUCCACAGUCAUCUUUUUUAUAUAUAUAAUGACACAUUAGUUGUCUAGUUCUUCAUAGUUAAUGUGGUUUAAGUCUGACAUCUUUUCUUUUGCCAUGAAAUUUACACCUUAGUGUUAUUCUCACUGAAAAUUGCCUUUGAGUUUGAUAAACUCUUAUCCCAGUGAUAUUGACUGUUUUAAAUUAACAGAUUUAUCACCAUUUCUGAGCUGUGUAGGGCCUUAAUUGAAAAAGUAUCUUUGAUAAUUUUUUCACAUUUUGGCCACAUGCCUAUAAUAAUGGAAUAUUUACAGUACUUUUUAGUGGAGAACUUUUUUAAGUAGAAUUUCAAUAAUUAAUGUUUGAUGGAGUUUGGAAGUUACCGUAUUUUGAAGUAUCGUUUAACAUUCUCCUCUCAAUGAGUUUUCCUUUAAAAUUUGCAGUGAAUUUGUUUUCCUGUUUAUGCAUGAGAAUUUAGGUCUUAUUAAUUGGGGGAAAUUAAUGUUAAAUUAAUAAAUAAGCCCUUGUUGCAGCUCAUUGUUUCUUGAAAUGAAUUAACUAUCCAGGCAAAAGGUUAAAAAUGAAAAAAAAAAGUCUUUGUAACUAAAUUUUUCCCAUUUUGUUGUGGUAUUUGAGGAGUUUACAAAUCAAAAUGUCCUGGGUUAAAAGGCAUCACAUGAGUUUGUGCCCAUUGCUUUUCAGUGUGAGGAGUCUGAUAGCAGCCCAUCCCAUUUGGGUGGGAAGGUUAUAGACCUUGCACAUUAAUGCCAUGCUCAAAGCAGAUUUGCAGGUAUCCUGCAACACAGGGACUUUCAGAAAACCCGCUUUGGCUUAUUCUACCUGAACUACUUAUUUUAAUUAACUAAAUGGAUAUCCCAAGCAUUCCAUGUUUAUCCUGUUGCUCAGUGAAUCCUCAGAUCGUUAAUUUGGUAGAUUCUCUUUUUUGUCUUCAUACUAUUAUUUCUUUUAGCUUUUAAAAAAAUUGUGUACUGCCUACAGGUCUUUAUGGAAGUUUCACCUUUCUUUGUGUCGCACUGGCAUCGGCUGUAUAAUUUUUGCAGCUAGACCACAUUUAAAAAAAAAUCUACAUUUUUGGAACUAGUAAAAGAUACUUAUUUGUGUUAUUUAAGUAUUCAUGUCUUUUACUGUGGGUAGUUAAGUUUAAUAAUUUAAAAAGACACAUUUUAUCAGUAACAAUGUUCAUUUUAUUUUUCAGACUCUUCCCUCUACUACUUACUCUGUAUUUCUGUCUCUUCUAAUGACUAGGAAAGGCAGUUUCUCAAAAUCAUCUUCUAUUUAGUUGGCAAAUGUGAUAAUGUGGGUGGUGUUCCUAUCUUCCUGCUGUACCUGUUCUACUGAAAUGAGAUAUAAUAGCCAUCUGGCUACAAUUUUGAUUUCUAAGAAGUUCUUAUGUCAUUUUAAAUUCAAAAACUAAGUAUUUCAACAUUUGGUCUCUCAUAUCUUAAGUUUUAUUUUCUUUGUUCCAGCUGUUCAGAGAUAGUGUGUUCUAAAUCUCCACAAUCAAGAUUUUUGACUAAAAUGGAUCAGUACAUGAAAAAGAGGGACUAGUAUUAAUUUUAGAUCUUGUUAGUUAAUCAUGGUCUUACUAAUAAUUUGGCAAGUUCUUUAAUGACCCAAAUCUUUGUAUUUCAAAUGCCUUGAAGUUGUUAUUCUUUCCUAUUAGUACCCUGAUGGGAGGAUGAAAACAGCAGAAAGGAGCAGCACCAGAUGAUCUUUUCAUGGGCAUGUACUCUUUCAAGGAAUCCCAUGGAGCUCAGUGAAAUUACACUUUGGCUUAGAGAUAAUUAAGUUGUGGAAGGAGGUUUAAGAGAGGAGCUUAGGUGAAAUUUGAGCUGUAAAUGAGUAUGCUAAAUUAAAGAAAUGAUUAGUAAUAAAUGAGAUUUGCUAUUAAGAAAUUCACUUUGGAUCUGAGACAACAUUUUACAUACAAUGUAGAAAACUUUAUGGUCAGAACAGAACACAGUCUGAACCUAAAUUAACAGUAGUGUUAAACAAUUCAGGGCAGGAUAUUAUCCAAGAAGGCCUAGCCAGCUGCUCCACUUAAUGUUACAUCAUAAGUGGUUUCUGUGUUGCUAUUGUUUUUAUUAGCAUUUCAAUGACUGUGUCAUAUUACAUUAAAUCAAUUGGCUCUAACUUA
rnacentral:sRNA from 1 species